UAACUGCUUCAACCUUUGACCAAAGCUCCAUGAUACCAAAAGCUUCACCAGCUCCAGAUUGCCACUAUUUCCACACCAAAAUCAAAAUUCCACUCUAUUUUUCCCCAGGCUAUAAACACACAGACACAUUUUUGUGAGAGAGCCCCUUGUUGAUGACUGGAAGAAAGAGUUCAUACAUUAUAUCCACAUCCAAAAAGGAGAGAAGGGCUGAGCAGGUCAAGGGUGCUUUUAUGGGAGACCUUUAUAGCCAAAAUGGCAAAGUGGCCAGGAGAGAAAGCAGAGGUUAGAUGUGGAAGAGAGAAAAUGCUGGCAUACAGCAUUGCCAGGAAAACCCUGAUCUGGAUCCAGGUAAAGCAGCUGCAGUAGUGGAAGAGGUCAGAUAAAGCAUAUGAAAGUAUGAAGAGUGCAACCUGGUAAGGACCUUCAAAGUCUGUGGACAGUAGCCAAACUGAAGCUGAGGAGUACACCAGUUGAUGAUUAAUUCCAGUAAAACAAACUGAGCUACUCAGUGACAUUCCUCAUUUCCCACAGUUUUAUGUUCUAUUCCUAAGGCCUAUGGAAAAUCACCUGUGGCUGGAGUCAGCCAGCAGCUUCCUGCGGGCUUUCCAGCACAAGAAGCAGAGCACCCAAGACAAUGUGGCUCCUGGGUACCAGCAGCUCAUGCCCCAAAACCUAUAUUACUAAAGAGAAAUCUCCUACUGGCUCCCAAUCAUAUGCUUAACCACAGCAUCCCAUUUAUAACUUCCAUCCUUUCCCCAGAGCAGUGCAAAAAGUGUAAAGCUUGAAAUGGUUUUUCUUUUGUCUUUUUUUCCUUUUUGAUAGAUAGCUGACAGCCGAUGUUGCUCAUUCACAGUAAAUCGUAGCUGUCCCAAAGAGAGCACUCUGCCUCACCAGCCAGCUUUUUGUCAAGCAUGAAAAUCAGUCACCUUAGCAAAAGUAUUUGUCACUUGUGCUUUGUUUUUCAGUUGCAGAUGGGAAAAUAGUUAUUUCUGGUAUUCCCAUAGCUCCUGAAGGCCCCAGACAGCUCCAAGGCCACUUUGGGAUGAGCUUACACUGUAUUUUCAGACGCAUUUUUUAGACACUGAGUUCUCAACAUAAAAGAAGAAACAGCAUGAUGGAAAUGGGAGCACUGGGUGGAACGAUCACUUGCAGGGAGAGGAAGAGAGCUCUACCUUCCCAGCCUGGGCUUGGUGCCCUGCUCUGUGCAUCACACAAUUCAGCACCUAAAAACCCACCAGUGGUUUAAGGAAAGGUAUCUGUGGGGCUGAAUGAAGCAGGGAGAAAACACGGGGUCCCUCCUGCAGGAUCCUGUCUACCCACAGUGGGGCAAGAGAUGCUGGUGGAAGGGGACUGGGCAAAAGAUUUUGCACAUAUGGACGGGGAGCAGCUGAUAUCCCCGGACAAGCCCCCAGAGGAGAUGGAUGGUUCGGUUGUCCUUGAGAUUUGCUGCCUACUUGUCUGUCCCUCAAGCUCCCUGAUAGAUCUGGGUUUGAGUUAUUGCUGUCAGCCCCUUGGAUUAGGUUUCUGUCUGUUUUAUAACUCUGUUUAGUAUCAGCUUACUCAAUAUGUCUUUUAUAUCUCUAAUGGUGAAAUAAACCGUUAUAAAUUUACCCAAGAGAUGACGGAUACACUGCUCAGACAUUCUUCUUGAUGCAAAGAAACUGCUUUUAAUUGUAACUUCUGGCACAGAAGGCCUUCCUCACUGCAGGUGAUCUGCCUUUAUACACAGAAACAUUUGGUUUGUUUACUGUUACAGAGGAAAAAUGUGAAGCUGAUAGAAAUGGUAUAAUUGAAAUG